rnacentral:sRNA from 1 species
AUUUAGCCCCGAUUGUAGUGGAAAUCCUGUCAUUGCGUUUCUAAUUUUUGAUGAGAUUGCCUCGUUCCUCGCAAUGACAGAUUGAAACGAAAAGCGGGAAAAUGG